rnacentral:lncRNA from 1 species
CACAGGGUAUACCAAUGUGUUUAUACCAACUCUAAAAUUUACAAUGUACUGUACAAGUGGUCACGUGCGUGACUCAAAUUUGUCUUACUGACCGGCGUCAUAGCUCUCACCAGGAAGCUAUCCUGAUACCAGCAGGAUGCUGAAAGGGUAUACACAGGGCUACAGAAACCAGCCCAUCUCAAUGGGCAGGACUGGGUCCAUUAGUAAAAUGGCAGGGGCCACAAGUGGGCUGUGGCUCCUCUCAUGUCUGCUGGAGAUAUGAAGGCUCCCAGGUCACCUGGAGACAGGCUAGGUGUCUACCUCCGUGGCGAGGGUGAGACCGUAGCCGCCCAACCUCUUGGAUCAUUGCCGAGGACAGACAGAUUGACCAGCAAUGUGACCACCACUGUUCUGAAGGCAGGGCUCCCGAGGCACGUGCCCCUCAUAUGUUUGGAGGCCCUGGGCCCUUCCAGGG